rnacentral:misc_RNA from 1 species
AAGUCGUAACAAGGUUUCCGUAGGUGAACCUGCGGAAGGAUCAUUAACACGUAUCCAACGUUAAAACAACCCUGUGAACCUUCAAUCUUGCUCGCGUGGCACCAGAUUUUGAGUCAGGGACCUCUGCCGAUGAGAGUUACGCUCGUAGCGAUGCAAGCGACCUGGCACCCCCAAGCAAUCAGAGUUCUGAAAGCGUCUUUGAUUGUGUAAGGGUGGCGCAAACACGAUCGUUGGAGGCCGACACGGCCGACGACCGGGUCCCUGGGUCACCAUGCCCCUUAAAUCACCACACUGUAACGCCGACAGGUCGCGAUAAUUCCGCUGACCACAAAAAACCGAACAACUGUUAACAAUGGAUAUCUUGGUUCUC